CUACUUUCUUCAGUUUGAAGAGUUUGUUUUAGUUUCGAACUAUACUUUUUGUUUUAGAAACGGGCAGCAGAAACGGACGUUAUGGAACUCAGAACUAUCUUGUUUGUAAUUCUAAAUGCGCACACAUGCACUGCCAUCUUUAACGUUAGUGCUGAAGACAGUGUAGCUGAAAAUACAACAAUUGUUCAGCCGGCUUAUCCACCGGAUCUACAUGAGAAACCCAGAAAUGGCCCCUCUGCACGCGGUUUUUCUGUUCAGCGUUACUAUGAAACCCAGACUGAUGAGCCGAUUGACUUCAAUAUGGAUGAGACAUCGCCUGACUCUUAUUUAUUGCAAAAUAAAACUCGUAAAGGU